GAUGAAGAACGUAGCGAAAUGCGAUACGUAAUGUGAAUUGCAAAUUCAGUGAAUCAUCGAGUCUUUGAACGCACAUUGCGCCCCCUGGUAUUCCGGGGGGCAUGCCUGUCCGAGCGUCAUUGCUGCCCUCAAGCACGGCUUGUGUGUUGGGCCCCGUCCUCCGAUCCCGGGGGACGGGCCCGAAAGGCAGCGGCGGCACCGCGUCCGGUCCUCGAGCGUACGGGGCUUUGUCACCCGCUCUGUAGGCCCGGCCGGCGCUUGCCGAUCAACCCAAAUUUUUUAUCCAGGUUGACCUCGGAUCAGGUAGGGAUACCCGCUGAACUUAAGCAUAUCAAUAAGCGGAGGA
rnacentral:misc_RNA from 1 species